GUAACUGAUUAAGCACCAAGAACACUUACUAAACACGAGCUUCGAUGCUAAUUUGUUAAUUAGCUAAAUCUAAACGGGCACCCGUGCGACAAAAGUCAAAGGUCAGUAUGAUGAAGAUGAUCACUAUGAGCUUGAUGGUGAAAUAAGACUCCGACAGAACUUUUCAAUAAAUCCCUAUACUAAUGACAAAAUGAAAGCAAAUCAGUGUUACAAAACAAAGUCACGAAACUGUCACUAAAGAAUAUAUAAAGCAACACAAUUUGAUUCUCUGUGAUCACAUCGAAUGCAAGUUCCAAGUGAACAAAAUCUGCUGUUCAACCAGUAACUGGCGUUCAACUAGUAACUCUGACGUUUAACAAGUAACUGGCGUUCAACUAGUAACUCUGACGUUUAACCAGUAACUGGCGUUCAACUAGUAACUCUGACGUUUAACCCGUAACUGGCGUUCAACUAGUAAUUCUGACGUUCAACCAGUAACUGGCGUUCAACUAGUAACUCUAACGUUUAACCAGUAACUGGCGUUCAACUAGUAACUCUGACGUUUAACCCGUAACUGGCGUUCAACUAGUAAUUCUGACGUUCAACCAGUAACUGGCGUUCAACUAGUAACUCUAACGUUUAACCAGUAACUGGCGUUCAACUAGUAACUCUGACGUUCAACCAGUAACUGGCGUUCAACUAGUAACUCUGACGUUUAACCCGUAACUGGCGUUCAACUAGUAAUUCUGACGUUCAACCAGUAACUGGCGUUCAACUAGUAACUCUAACGUUCAACCAGUAACUGGCGUUCAACUAGUAACUCUAACGUUUAACCAGUAACUGGCGUUCAACUAGUAACUCUGACGUUUAACCAGUAACACUCCACUCAUCAAACAACAACGUUUACCUACAAGAUUUGUGUUCUGUCCAAUUUGUUUACUUUUUUAAUUCAAUUUAAAAGUGUCCUAUCUAACGAAUUCUAAAGUAAUUAUUACUUAUAUGGCUAUCUUUCUCUUGUUAAAGGCUGACUCAGUCCUUAUGCUCUCAGCGAGAGCAUCAAAGAUUAUGUGAUGAUAUAUAUACAACAAAAAAUAGCUGCAUUACUGUAACACUUCACUGUCUCUCGUGUUGCAAUGUUUUGUAGUUUUCUCUAAUAGAAAGCCCUUUGUGUACAUUAUCCUCGUCACCCCCUGGCAAUCAAAUCAUUAAAUAAGAACAAUCUUGUAUAAACUUUGUCACAUGUAAAUUAUGAGUGAGUCUGGUGUGAAUGUACACUUUGGUUUCUUAUAGUUAUAAUGUUUUUUUUUGUUUGGUGUAAUGCACAAAUUGUAAGACAAAUUUCCAUACGGACAAUAAAGAUUAUUAUUAUAUUAGAAAUGAACGAGUAGUCAUUCCCUGGCGCUGCCAGGGUCGAGUUUCGCUAAAGAGAAACAAAAUUCAUCGUAGUCCCUUUAUCAGUUUCCACCGAGGAAUUUUCUGGUGAUGUGGCAGGUCUGCAGAAGUACCGCCCUCUGACAGGCAACGAGAAUGUUAUUAUUAUUAUUAUUAUUGAUAUGCCAAUAGAUCGUAGACAGGUAAGGACUGUGGUUCUGCACAAAGUAAACUAAUUGACCUCGAUUUUGAAUAAGCUUCUUGCUACAAGAUAUAUUUCAGUCUUUUCCAUUUUUUACGAAUUUUCGUUUACACUACAGCCGUGUCUCAUUAUAGUCCUGCAGGAGUGUUAAGCAUGCUCUCUAUCAUUUCGUAUUAGUUCAACGGAGACAACUGUGUUUCAUCCUAUUGUCUCUCUAUUCGUGAGUUGUCCACCUUAUUAUGUCAUAAAUCGUUUUCUUCCGGCUG